AGAGAUCUCCAAAGUGCUUCUCUACAUGGGUGAUGUUCUCUUGGAUCUGCUUGGUCUGGGUGUCUCUGUUAUGUGCAAAAAAAAAAAAAAAAAAAAAAAAAGAAGCAGAAGAAAAAUUAAGCUCAGCAUGUUAAAAGGGUUAUAUUUCAGAUUUAUUGUGCAAGAGAGGAACAGUCAGUUAUUACAAGAAUAUCAUGAUGUAUAUUCCUUCAGCUACAACAGGAAAUCUGGAAGAACAGCGUCCCGUUACCAUGGAGCUAAAGAGGCGCCCUCUACAGGCGCUCCACAACACCUCGACGGAGAGGGGAAUUCAUGAUGUAUUGCUGCCUUGCAAAUAAAAACGGAUCCAUCACCUCCACCAGCCAUAACCCAGAUGGCCAGAAAAUUGGCUUUGUGUAGAGAUGUGGAUUCAGGCAUGAAUAUUAAUAGAAGACAGAUGUAAACGCAUAUUAAUAUCCUUUCACAUUUAGGACAGGCUGAAAAUUAUAGUGCACUCACUUGGGGGGGGGAAGAAAGGUUGCAUCUGGAAAAAAAGUGUUUUUUCCUCCUUUUCUUUUUUCUAAUAUGAUGCCAGACUUUUGCUGUGUAUGCAGGUCCAGUCCAAGUAUGAUAUUUUGUCAUCUAGUGCUGUCAUACAUGAUGUAUCCAAACACAGAAGAUUAGAGUAAUCAGAAAAUGUAUAAUUCACUUGACUUAUGUAUACUAUAAUACAAUAUUUCUCACGU